UAGGGAAUCUUCCGCAAUGGUCGAAAGCCUGACGGAGCAACUCCGCGUGAGUGAUGAAGGUCUUCGGAUUGUAACACUCUGUUAUUAGGGAAGAACAAAUGUGUAAGUAACUAUGCACGUCUUGACGGUACCUAAUCAGAAAUCCACUGCUAACUACGUGCCAGCAGCCUCGGUAAUACGUAGGUGGCAAGCGUUAUCCGUAAUUAUUGGGCGUAAAGCGCGCGUAGGCGGUUUUUUAAGUCUGAUGUGAAAGCCCACGGCUCAACCGUGGAGGGUCAUUGGAAACUGGAAAACUUGAGUGCAGAAGAAGAAAGUGGAAUUCCAUGUGUAGCGGUGAAAUGCGCAGAGAUAUGGAGGAACACCAGUGUCGAAGGCGACUUUCUGGUCUGUAACUGACGCUGAUGUGCGAAAGCGUGGGGAUCAAACAGG
rnacentral:rRNA from 1 species